UCAGCUAUAGGGAUAGAAUGCUCCAUUUCAUAAAAAUCAGCCACAUUAUUAUGUAUUUUCUAGAACUCCAUGCUGUGUACUCCCAAAUGACUCCAUGAGAUAAUUGCAAGGUUACCAUUAAGAGAGGAGUCACUAAGGAUGAGAAAGCAAGGAAUCAAGGUCAGCUUGAAAACACCUUUUAAGAAAGAACUUUAUCUGUAUACUGAAACCUGGAACUUAGUUGAAGCAAACAGAAUAAAGGUCUCCAAUGUAAGAGGUAAAUUGCUAAGAAACUAUGAACCUGGAUUUAAAAAUUUGACCAUUUUUGACCAUUGAGACCUAAAACAAAUUUCAGGCCAGCAUAUUUGCACCAGCAGGAAGCUGGUUAAAGGAGAUGGGCAAUUCCCAAAGACUGCAUGCUCCCCAGGACCAACUUUACAUAUGGUGGAUAAUGGAAAAGGGAGGCCCUCCAAGUGGAAAGAGUCAGAAGCUACAGAGAAUGACUGACGAGUUCUUACCAGAAAGCAGAAUCUGUGACUAAUAAAACAACUUGAUCUGCGGUCUUCAUAAUGCUCUCCCACCAAGAUUUCAUAAUUGCUAUGGAUGAUGACUGCUGUGUGUUUUUGUUUCCCAUUUUCCAAAGAAGGGUUUUAGCUUGCCGCUACUCUGUUCUUGGGACACCAUUGUAUAUUGGGUAAGCAUAAGUGGGUGGGUGGUAAAUUUCCUUUUUAGUUCAUGGGAUGGCUAGACUGCAAGGAGGCCCAGUGGAGAGUACCACCAAUGAUCCUGAGCUUUGAGCUGGAUGUAGCAACAAGGUACAUACUCAUCUACUCCCUUGAAGUUAAAUGGAGUCAUGAGACUCAGUUUAGGCCGAUGAAAUAUGGCUGGAAUUGAUGUACUUCCAGAUUAGGCCCUCCAAAAUCUCCCUUGAGAUCAGCCCCACUACAGAGGACCCAAUAGAGAGGGCUGUGAGGCCUCAGGAAUGGCAGAGCCACUAGAUGGAAGGAAUAACUCAUGUGGGGCAGAACCGUGACAUGAAUUGGUAUAUGAAAUGAACAGAAAAUAAGGCCUCAUUUAAGUUAAAUAACCCAGGAAAUCAACCUUUCUUCUGUUGAGAUUUUGGAAUCACUUGUUAUGACAAUCAGCCUCGACCAAAGCAGUAAUCAAAGCUAUAUGCAAUGAAACAUGCAGGCUAUGUGUUGGUGUAACCUAUUAAUUACCCUCUAAUUUUCUUUCACAAGAUGACUGUAGGGGACUUCUGUGGCUAAAAUUUAUUUCUGAUUGAGACUGAUUUUUUCCUAUGUCUUAUGGGGUUCUUGUCCCCUGAAGUCAGUUAGUCUCCAGGUAUCAUUGAAUGACUAAUCCCAGAUCUACUACUUACUAGGUGUGUGAUCUUGGACAUGUACUAAUGUGUUUGAGCCUCAGUUUCCUUAUC